GACGAACGCUGGCGGCGUGCUUAACACAUGCAAGUCGAACGGAAAGGCCCUGCUUUUGUGGGGUGCUCGAGUGGCGAACGGGUGAGUAACACGUGAGUAACCUGCCCUUGACUUUGGGAUAACUUCAGGAAACUGGGGCUAAUACCGGAUAGGAGCUCCUGCUGCAUGGUGGGGGUUGGAAAGUUUCGGCGGUUGGGGAUGGACUCGCGGCUUAUCAGCUUGUUGGUGGGGUAGUGGCUUACCAAGGCUUUGACGGGUAGCCGGCCUGAGAGGGUGACCGGCCAGAUUGGGACUGAGAUACGGCCCAGACUACUACGGGAGGCAACAGAGGGGAAUAUUGCACAAUGGGCGGAAGCCUGAUGCAGCAACGCCGCGUGCGGGAUGACGGCCUUCGGGUUGUAAACCGCUUUCGCCUGUGACGAAGCGUGAGUGACGGUAAUGGGUAAAGAAGCACCGGCUAACUACGUG
rnacentral:rRNA from 1 species